UACGUAGGUGGCAAGCGUUGUCCGGAUUUAUUGGGUUUAAAGGGUGCGUAGGCGGCUUUGUAAGUCAGUGGUGAAAUACGGUAGCUUAACUAUCGAGGUGCCAUUGAUACUGCAGAGCUUGAGUACAGAUGAGGUAGGCGGAAUUGACGGUGUAGCGGUGAAAUGCUUAGAUAUCGUCAAGAACACCUAUAGCGAAGGCGGCUUACUAGGCUGUAACUGACGCUGAGGCACGAAAGUGUGGGGAUCAAACAGG
rnacentral:rRNA from 1 species